rnacentral:rRNA from 1 species
UAGAAUAGAGAAAGAGACGGGCCGGUGAGGAAGACAAAGAGGGUGCGGUGUGUGAGAGGGUGGAUUUGGAUUUGGAUCCAGUGGACGGCAGCGGCGGCGGACUGAACGGCCGGCUAAACGAGCGCGACAACGGCGGAGAGGGUGGUGGUUGCCGCGGAGGGUUUCGGAGGAAGAUCGUACACCAAGAAGGGGUACAAGGUUGGGGUUCCACUACGGAAUUGUCUUCCAUCCUAUCCUCUUCUCCCUCCCUCUAGGUGGCGCUGACUUCUUCCGGCCCGCUACUGGUACCGUGCGGGUCUAGCCGGUCGUGGCAGCUGCAGCUCGAGGAGACGAGGAUCACGGUCUAAGCGGAGCCCGAGGUAGAGGUGUUGGUGCGUGGAUGUCGGUGGUACCUUCCACGAGACACACGAACGAAGAAGGGAAGGACCCUGCGACGACGAGGCUGCGGUACCUGUUAAGGUGACUUGUUUGGUUCCAUAUCUUUCUGUUUGUGCUUUUUCCGAUGGACAACCGACAGCCACGACUCGACUGCCUGUCACACCUUCUUCUUCCACACUAGAACCGUCGCCGGGUACUUCGUAAAAAAAGAAACGUACAACUAGUGAUGACGUGACAAGUCCAAGAAUUAGUUCACUGACUAACUGACACUAACACCCAGUGUUCGUUCCCUUACGAUUGGCACCACCACCACCACUAACUUCUCGGGAAUUAGUUAAGCCGGUACAUCUAACCUCGUCGUUGGACCCUAUAACGUGGUAGAUCGAGGUAAACAGACUAAGUAGAAGAAAAGGACCAGAUAGUUGACCUCCUUAGAUGUCUAAGCACUUAUGCAAGGAUUGGAGCGCGUUAGCUAUCAGCCAGACUAGAACAGGAGGUUGCUGGUUCUCAAGGCUCUACUUACACACCACGGGGAGCGCUUUGUAUCCCUGUACCGUCUUUCAUCGUUCAGGGGUUCAACUAGAUUCUACAAGGCCACAAGUGAAAACAAGUAUUGUACCAUCUAUGUAAAACAAGUAUAUCUUCAACUACGGCCGAACCACUAACUUCCUAACCAGAGAAAGUAUUAUGAGGGAGACAUGGCUUUAUGAACAUCAACCCCGGGGGUUAAUGUUCUUAAAGCAAUGUCUCCCUCAUAAUCAUUAGUUCACUAGCUUGUUAACCAGAGAAUCCUCGAAUCGGAAAUAUAAAACGACGUCAUGUCCAGAACAUACAGCUGAAUACAUAAUGGAAGUACCAACAUCGUUUGAACUCACUUAUAUUGUUUACAAGUUAUAUACAACUUAUUUACAUGAUCACUUACCACAGAACACUACUUAUCUUCUCACG